AGUGAACGCUGGCGGUAGGCCUAACACAUGCAAGUCGAACGGCAGCACAGAGGAGCUUGCUCCUUGGGUGGCGAGUGGCGGACGGGUGAGGAAUACAUCGGAAUCUACUCUGUCGUGGGGGAUAACGUAGGGAAACUUACGCUAAUACCGCAUACGACCUACGGGUGAAAGCAGGGGAUCUUCGGACCUUGCGCGAUUGAAUGAGCCGAUGUCGGAUUAGCUAGUUGGCGGGGUAAAGGCCCACCAAGGCGACGAUCCGUAGCUGGUCUGAGAGGAUGGUCAGCCACACUUGCACUGAGACACGGUCCAGACUCCUACGGGAGGCAGCAGUGGGGAAUAGUGGACAAUGGGCGCAAGCCUGAUCCAGCCAUACCGCGUGGGUGAAGAAGGCCUUCGGGUUGUAAAGCCCUUUUGUUGGGAAAGAAAUCCAUCUGGUUAAUACCCGGGUGGGAUGACGGUACCCAAAGAAUAAGCACCGGCUAACUUCGUGCCAGCCGCCGCAGUAA
rnacentral:rRNA from 1 species